rnacentral:lncRNA from 1 species
CUUUUCCGCUGAUGUCAAAACCUUUUUGUCAUAGACUGUACAUGAAAAGAACAUCAAGGAAGAGUUUUUAUUCUGUAAAUGACUUGAAACAACAACAAACUAUACGUCAACAAGCAGUUGAUGUAUUCAAGCUGAUCCAAUUGUUCUUUGGUCACCAUGAACUGACAUGGGAUUUGACUGGGUCUAUUUGUAUGGAUGAAGCUCCUACUGUGAUUGGCAAAAAAAAUCUGGAUUCGUUGCUAUGGUCAAAACGAAAACUCCACAUGUGCUCACCACACACUGUGUUCUACAUCGCCAAGCCCUGGCAU